rnacentral:misc_RNA from 1 species
CCCGCAUCCACCACCUUCCCCACUGCCCUUUCCCUCUCUCAGCCGUCGUCAGUCGUCACUCACUCACUCACUUUCUCUCGUCUUUCCCUCUGUGUAUUUCCAGCCUACAUAUAUCCUCUUCAUAUUUCCAAAAUGCUUUCUCAAUCUCAAUCUCAAUCCUAUUUCCUCUCUCAAUCCCCUAAAUUCUUUCCCUCCCACUCCCUCCACUUCUCUGCAAACACCGCCACCGCCACUACACUCUCUUUUCCAGCCCUCAAACUUCACUCUCCUCUCUCUCUUCAAAUCCACCCUAAGUUCGCUUCUACAAUGACCUCAAAUUCAAAAUUUUCUGAUCACUCCGAUACUCUUCAGUCACUACUCUCCGACGCCGACCUCGACCGCUUCGCUCAUGUCGCCAACAAGCUUGCUGAUGCCUCUGGUGAAGUCAUUCGCAAGUACUUCCGAAAGAAAUUUGAAAUUCUUGAUAAGGAGGAUUCGAGUAUGUGCGAUGUAUAAUAUGUGUUUUUUUAAAUAUAUUUACUUUUAUGAUGUGUGUAGUAUUUUUUUGCUACCUCAAGUAAUCGUAUUUCCAGCUGAAUUUGAGUUUUUAUUGACAAUGGGGAAUGGCGGGCUUCGUUUCAUUUUGUUGUCUAGAAAAUGUGGGAAAGGGAAGGGAAAAGACUGGAAAUUUUUUAGUUUUGUAAUUUAUGUUGCUUCAAUGGAGUUCUAGCAAGCUUUUCUAAGUUGAAAGCAAUUAGAACCUUCAUAUUUCUGGACUAUCGCCUUUAAAUUGUUCAAUAAUGGUUGUUUUGCUGAUAUUUGCGUAGAGGUUUCGAAAUUCUAAUAAAGGAUUAUCUGAUAUUAAAAUGUAGCUUGAUCAAAUUCCUUAACUUCGGUUCUAUAAUGAGAGUAUUUUGGAAAAAGAAACGCUGGUUCUAGGAAAUUUCUCUUUUGCUUCUGUUUUAGAUUUUUAUUAUAAAGUAAUUAAAUCACUAAGCCAAGUCCUUGCCUGGUUUACUUGAAGGGCAGACAAGCCUUUUCUUUAGUCUCAAAUUGCCUAACAUCUAGGCACCUAUCUUUAUUUCUUUUCUUAUUCUGCUCCUUUAACGCUAAUAAUGAUUGUGUCUGGCAUCUGUAACUUAGUGCGUUUGUUAGUUUCUAUUUAUAUCCUCAUUAUUCUGGUGUUCAAUUCACUAAAGGCCCUGUAACAAUUGCGGAUAAAGCAGCAGAGGAAUCUAUGGUCUCAAUUAUAUUGGAGAAUUUUCCAUCUCAUGCAAUGUGAGUUGCUCAUCAUAUUCUUAAACCCAUGUAGCACUUCUGUUUGAUUGCUGAGUUAAAAGUAGGGGGGAAGUGUUCCAAUCUUUAUUUUGUGGCUUUUCUGUAUCCCAGCAAUUGAAUUACUUGCUUAAUCAACUCAAAUGGAUACUUGGUUGAGUUGCUAAACUUAAUAAACCUGUUCAAUAGUUGGUUUAUUUCUGCUUUAACUUUUAGAAGAAUUUUGAUUGUAGUUAUGGUGAGGAGAAUGGUUGGAGGUGUAAAGAGAAGUUCUCUGACUAUGUUUGGGUUUUAGAUCCAAUAGAUGGGACAAAGAGUUUUAUUACUGGUGUGCCUCUAUCUGUUCCUUUUCUGUCAUCAAGUUAUGAUCUUUGAAGAAUUUUCUCAAGUAAUUCAAUGCUACUUUCAAUUGUUUCAGGUAAGCCCUUGUUUGGUACACUCGUUGCUCUGCUACAUAGGGGCAAACCAGUAAGUCUACCACCUGCCUUCUGGUUGCAAGAAAAGAAAGAAAGGAAUGGUUUUUAGAGUAAAUAGGCUUGUUGCAGUAUUUUGCAUAAAUAAAAAUAAGAUAACUUUUUGUUUUUGUGUAUUAUAGCUUUUGGAAUGGAAGAUGCUUUUCUUCCCCUCUUAAAUUUGAAAAUAGAGGAAAGUACCUACAUGAUCAGGCUUACCUAAGUUAAUAGUAUCAUAUUCUCAAAAAUUUAUAAGGCAGGGUGAACUGGAGUUGUAGGAAAUAAGGCAUUGCAACUCAUGUUCUCCUUUCUGACUGGAUAACUUCGGUGCAUUUAUUGGAUCUUUAAGAAGGGCAAUGUUUAUUAACAUUGAGCAAGCUACAAUUGUUCCUGUCUUUUAUAGAAGAACUAGAAUGUUGUCAUUCUGGUAUAACUAUAAAGAAGGGCUUGUUUGCAGUAACUUUGGGCUUGACAACAGUUGAUUGUAUAGCUUACCAAUUCCUUACAUCAUUAUAGAUCUAAUUGCUUUGCUUAAAUUAUUUUAUAGCUGUUCAUUUAUUUAUCACUUCAGAAAGGGCAUUAUGUUGUGCAAAAGUCUUAGGUUUGCAAUUACCAAGUCACAGGUCUAAGGCAUGAGAACAACCAACUUCAGGAAAAUAGGGAAGAAUAGGAGUGUCUACAGAGUUCUCUCCCCUGAACUUUUCUUUGGUGCAAACAUAGCAAGGCAACAGUCCUCUUCAUGUAAUAUUAUCGGAGCAUGUCUUAUGAAUGGUUGAUAAAAGCAUCACUCAUCUUUAUUCAUUUGUUGGUUUGCAUAUCCUUGUAAUAUUUUAAGCAUUUAAUCUCACUAUAAUAUUUAUUUGCUAGAAAAAUGCAUGGUAAGUUUUGAGUGCGCAGCUUUUAUGAGUGUUUUAUUCUUCCUAAAGUGCCAAAAAUCUUUUCACAGAUUGUUGGCAUAAUUGAUCAACCUAUACUGAGGGAAAGAUGGAUUGGGAUAAGUGGAAGGAGGACAACACUGAAUGGGGAGGAAUUGUCUACACGGACUUGUGCAAAACUGUCACAGGCAUAUUUGUACACCACCAGCCCACAUCUAUUCAGUGGGGAUGCUGAAGAGGCGUUUGCUCGUGUCAGAAGUAAGGUGAAAGUGCCAUUAUAUGGCUGUGACUGUUAUGCCUAUGCCCUUUUGGCUUCGGGAUAUGUGGAUCUUGUCAUUGAGUCUGGUCUCAAGGUAUGUGGUGCUCAUUUUCUUCUGCAUUGUUGAUUGGCCAGUUAUCAGUACACUUGACAUGCAUGGUUCAGUCUUCAUGGAGAACAAAGGACUGUCCUAACUAUUCAGUUUCAUUGUAGGUGGCAGAUCUUUUCCAGGAAAUGAAGAUUUAAUAGAAACUGGAGACCUUCUUUUUAUCAUUAUUAAUAUUCUUUUUAUACAGCAUCUUCGUAAUGAAUAUUGUGAAACUGCCCAAUGCAGUAAACAAUACAAAUCUAGAUCAAGCUUUUUGCAUUUACAUAUUUUCUUCUCUUUAAUUUGAUUCAAUAGCAUGUUGGUCUUGUUUCAUUUUCAUGCCCUGUAAAUCAUGUGUUCUGGAUUUUCUGUAUAUAUGAUGAAAUUUAUCCUUUUUUUUCCCCCUCCUCCUUUACCAGCCAUACGAUUUCCUUUCCCUUGUACCCGUGAUAGAGGGUGCUGGAGGUAUCAUAACUGAUUGGAAAGGACAUCAUCUUCAUUGGGAUGCUUCUCCAGAUUCUCGUGCAACAAGUAGGUUUCCAUUCUUUCAAGGUCACAUUAUUCUGAUUUGCCUUCAUUUGACACAGGAUUCAUCCCAAAAGUUGUGAGCCUAGUCUUCCAAUUAUUUGCAGACGGAAAACUUCCUUCAAUUCUUCAUUUAUUUUUCAGGUUUCAACGUGGUGGCAGCUGGGGACAAACAGAUUCACCAACAAGCACUAGAUUCAUUACAAUGGCAUUGAAGAUUUCCACAGAAUUGUGCAGCCCUCCUCUCCCCUAUUGCUUGGGGAUAAUUGGUGGGACUAUGUGCUCUGAAUUGUAAAAUUUCUACAUUUUGUUAUUUAGUUUAGUGCAAUCUAGGGUAGGUAGAUGACCUGUAGAAAUGAACAAAGUGGCAGCAAGAGUUAAAUAAAUUGACUUCACAAAAGUAUCUUUGAGGUUUGACAAAAUUAGUAAGGU